rnacentral:rRNA from 1 species
CCUACGGGGGGCAGCAGUAAGGAAUAUUGGUCAAUGGACGCAAGUCUGAACCAGCCAUGCCGCGUGGAGGAUGAAGGCCCUUGGGUUGUAAACUUCUUUUAUCUGGGAAGCGGUACCAGUUGAAUAAGCACCGGCUAACUCCGUGCCAGCAGCCGCGGUAAUACGGAGUGUGCAAGCGUUAUCCGGAUUCACUGGGUUUAAAGGGUGCGUAGGUGGACAGGUAAGUCAGUGGUGAAAUCUCUGGGCUUAACCCAGAAACUGCCGUUGAUACUAUCUGUCUUGAAUGUAGUGGAGGUGAGCGGAAUAUGUCAUGUAGCGGUGAAAUGCUUAGAUAUGACAUAGAACACCAAUUGCGAAGGCAGCUCGCUACACUACAUUGACACUGAGGCACGAAAGCGUGGGGAUCAAACAGGAUUAGAUACCCGUGUAGUC